AGAGAGAACAGUCUAUGGGCUUGGGUGGCAAGAAAUAGACUUUAUCGAAAGUGUGAUCUACUAGGCUAUCUGGACCACCCUCUGUAGCGCCAUGCAAACAAGGCCGGUGUUGUUGGUCUAACAUUUUGAGGAUGUGAGAGCCCACGCAAAACCUUGUCAACUUCAUGAGGGGGGAAGAGGGGCUGGCCAUGCCUUCUUCACGACUGUUCGCGUGUGAGUGGACAAUUUUAAGUCAUUAGUGAUUUGGACAAAGAAGAACUUGAUGUUCUCGACCCGCUGCACUGCAGAACCGUCGAUGUGUCCUGCCACCACACUGCCAGGUCACUGACCCUCUCCCUGUAGGCUGUCUCAUCGUCCCUGUAGGCUGUCCCAUCGUCCCUGUAGGCUGUCUCAUCGUCCCUGUAGGCUGUCCCAUCGUCCCUGUAGGCUGUCCCAUCGUCCCUGUAGGCUGUCCCAUCGUCCCUGUAGGCUGUCUCAUUGUCCCUGUAGACUGUCCCAUCGUCCCUGUAGGCUGUCCCAUCGUCCCUGUAGGCUGUCUCAUCGUCCCUGUAGGCUGUCCCAUCGUCCCUGAAGGCUGUCUCAUCGUCCCUGAAGGCUGUCUCAUCGUCCCUGAAGGCUGUCCCAUCGUCCCUGAAGGCUGUCCCAUCGUCCCAUUAGGCUGUCCCAUCCUCCCUGUAGGCUGUCCCAUCGGCCCUGUAGGCUGUCUCAUCGUCCCUGUAGGUUGUCUUGUCCUCUCUGUAGCCUGUCUCAUCGUCCCGGUAGGCUGUCCCAUCCUCCCUGUAGCCUGUCUCAUCUUCCCUGUAGACUGUCCCAUCGUCCCUGUAGGC
rnacentral:lncRNA from 1 species